rnacentral:rRNA from 1 species
GAUGAACGCUGGCGGCGUGCCUAAUACAUGCAAGUCGAGCGAACGGACGAGACGCUUGCUUUUCUGAUGUUAGCGGCGGACGGGUGAGUAACACGUGUAUAACCUACCUAUAAGACUGGGAUAACUUCGGGAAACCGGAGCUAAUACCGGAUAAUAUCUUGAACCGCAUGGUUCAAAAGUGAAAGACGGUCUUGCUGUCACUUAUAGAUGGAUCCGCGCUGCAUUAGCUAGUUGGUAAGGUAACGGCUUACCAAGGCAACGAUGCAUAGCCGACCUGGGAGGGGGAUCGGCCACACUGGAACUGAGCCACGGUCCAGGCGCCUACGGGAGGCAGCAGACGGGAAUCUUCCGCAAUGGGCGAAAGCCUGACGGAGCAACGCCGCGUGAGUGAUGAAGGUCUUCGGAUCGUAAAACUCUGUUACUAGGGAAGAACAUAUGUGUAAGUAACUGUGCACAUCUUGACGGUACCUAAUAAGAAAGCCACGGCUAACUACGUG